UUAAGCGACUAAGCGUACACGGUGGAUGCCCUGGCAGUCAGAGGCGAUGAAGGACGUGCUAAUCUGCGAUAAGCGUCGGUAAGGUGAUAUGAACCGUUAUAACCGGCGAUUUCCGAAUGGGGAAACCCAGUGUGUUUCGACACACUAUCAUUAACUGAAUCCAUAGGUUAAUGAGGCGAACCGGGGGAACUGAAACAUCUAAGUACCCCGAGGAAAAGAAAUCAACCGAGAUUCCCCCAGUAGCGGCGAGCGAACGGGGAGCAGCCCAGAGCCUGAAUCAGUGUGUGUGUUAGUGGAAGCGUCUGGAAAGGCGCGCGAUACAGGGUGACAGCCCCGUACACAAAAAUGCACAUGCUGUGAGCUCGAUGAGUAGGGCGGGACACGUGGUAUCCUGUCUGAAUAUGGGGGGACCAUCCUCCAAGGCUAAAUACUCCUGACUGACCGAUAGUGAACCAGUACCGUGAGGGAAAGGCGAAAAGAACCCCGGCGAGGGGAGUGAAAAAGAACCUGAAACCGUGUACGUACAAGCAGUGGGAGCACGCUUCGGCGUGUGACUGCGUACCUUUUGUAUAAUGGGUCAGCGACUUAUAUUCUGUAGCAAGGUUAACCGAAUAGGGGAGCCGAAGGGAAACCGAGUCUUAACUGGGCGUUAAGUUGCAGGGUAUAGACCCGAAACCCGGUGAUCUAGCCAUGGGCAGGUUGAAGGUUGGGUAACACUAACUGGAGGACCGAACCGACUAAUGUUGAAAAAUUAGCGGAUGACUUGUGGCUGGGGGUGAAAGGCCAAUCAAACCGGGAGAUAGCUGGUUCUCCCCGAAAGCUAUUUAGGUAGCGCCUCGUGAAUUCAUCUCCGGGGGUAGAGCACUGUUUCGGCAAGGGGGUCAUCCCGACUUACCAACCCGAUGCAAACUGCGAAUACCGGAGAAUGUUAUCACGGGAGACACACGGCGGGUGCUAACGUCCGUCGUGAAGAGGGAAACAACCCAGACCGCCAGCUAAGGUCCCAAAGUCAUGGUUAAGUGGGAAACGAUGUGGGAAGGCCCAGACAGCCAGGAUGUUGGCUUAGAAGCAGCCAUCAUUUAAAGAAAGCGUAAUAGCUCACUGGUCGAGUCGGCCUGCGCGGAAGAUGUAACGGGGCUAAACCAUGCACCGAAGCUGCGGCAGCGACGCUUAUGCGUUGUUGGGUAGGGGAGCGUUCUGUAAGCCUGUGAAGGUGUGCUGUGAGGCAUGCUGGAGGUAUCAGAAGUGCGAAUGCUGACAUAAGUAACGAUAAAGCGGGUGAAAAGCCCGCUCGCCGGAAGACCAAGGGUUCCUGUCCAACGUUAAUCGGGGCAGGGUGAGUCGACCCCUAAGGCGAGGCCGAAAGGCGUAGUCGAUGGGAAACAGGUUAAUAUUCCUGUACUUGGUGUUACUGCGAAGGGGGGACGGAGAAGGCUAUGUUGGCCGGGCGACGGUUGUCCCGGUUUAAGCGUGUAGGCUGGUUUUCCAGGCAAAUCCGGAAAAUCAAGGCUGAGGCGUGAUGACGAGGCACUACGGUGCUGAAGCAACAAAUGCCCUGCUUCCAGGAAAAGCCUCUAAGCAUCAGGUAACAUCAAAUCGUACCCCAAACCGACACAGGUGGUCAGGUAGAGAAUACCAAGGCGCUUGAGAGAACUCGGGUGAAGGAACUAGGCAAAAUGGUGCCGUAACUUCGGGAGAAGGCACGCUGAUAUGUAGGUGAAGUCCCUUGCGGAUGGAGCUGAAAUCAGUCGAAGAUACCAGCUGGCUGCAACUGUUUAUUAAAAACACAGCACUGUGCAAACACGAAAGUGGACGUAUACGGUGUGACGCCUGCCCGGUGCCGGAAGGUUAAUUGAUGGGGUCAGCGCAAGCGAAGCUCUUGAUCGAAGCCCCGGUAAACGGCGGCCGUAACUAUAACGGUCCUAAGGUAGCGAAAUUCCUUGUCGGGUAAGUUCCGACCUGCACGAAUGGCGUAAUGAUGGCCAGGCUGUCUCCACCCGAGACUCAGUGAAAUUGAACUCGCUGUGAAGAUGCAGUGUACCCGCGGCAAGACGGAAAGACCCCGUGAACCUUUACUAUAGCUUGACACUGAACAUUGAGCCUUGAUGUGUAGGAUAGGUGGGAGGCUUUGAAGUGUGGACGCCAGUCUGCAUGGAGCCGACCUUGAAAUACCACCCUUUAAUGUUUGAUGUUCUAACGUUGACCCGUAAUCCGGGUUGCGGACAGUGUCUGGUGGGUAGUUUGACUGGGGCGGUCUCCUCCUAAAGAGUAACGGAGGAGCACGAAGGUUGGCUAAUCCUGGUCGGACAUCAGGAGGUUAGUGCAAUGGCAUAAGCCAGCUUGACUGCGAGCGUGACGGCGCGAGCAGGUGCGAAAGCAGGUCAUAGUGAUCCGGUGGUUCUGAAUGGAAGGGCCAUCGCUCAACGGAUAAAAGGUACUCCGGGGAUAACAGGCUGAUACCGCCCAAGAGUUCAUAUCGACGGCGGUGUUUGGCACCUCGAUGUCGGCUCAUCACAUCCUGGGGCUGAAGUAGGUCCCAAGGGUAUGGCUGUUCGCCAUUUAAAGUGGUACGCGAGCUGGGUUUAGAACGUCGUGAGACAGUUCGGUCCCUAUCUGCCGUGGGCGCUGGAGAACUGAGGGGGGCUGCUCCUAGUACGAGAGGACCGGAGUGGACGCAUCACUGGUGUUCGGGUUGUCAUGCCAAUGGCACUGCCCGGUAGCUAAAUGCGGAAGAGAUAAGUGCUGAAAGCAUCUAAGCACGAAACUUGCCCCGAGAUGAGUUCUCCCUGACUCCUUGAGAGUCCUGAAGGAACGUUGAAGACGACGACGUUGAUAGGCCGGGUGUGUAAGCGCAGCGAUGCGUUGAGCUAACCGGUACUAAUGAACCGUGAGGCUUAACCUU
rnacentral:rRNA from 2 species